UACGAAGGGGGGCUAGCGUUGCUCGGAAUGACUGGGCGUAAAGGGCGCGUAGGCGGAUGGCACAGUCAGAUGUGAAAUUCCUGGGCUUAACCUGGGGGGCUGCAUUUGAUACGUGUGAUCUGGAGUGAGGAAGAGGGUUGUGGGAAUUCCCCAGUGUAGAGGUGAAAUUCGUAGAUAUUGGGAAGAACACCGGUGGCGAAGGCGGCGACCUGGUCCGGGACUGACGCUGAGGCGCGAAAGCGUGGGGAGCAAACAGG
rnacentral:rRNA from 1 species